UCGCUCACAAAGUGGCUGUUGUAUGUCGGAUUUCUUUGGCUCAUAUCACAGCCAGCUUUGUUGAGCGGUG
rfam:Nasonia vitripennis chromosome 1, whole genome shotgun sequence.